UAACAUCCACAGGCUGGCCAGCCCCUAGGCUCGACUGGGCGUGUAUCUCUUCGAAAGGCUCACCUCAAGCAUGACCAGGAGC
rnacentral:pre_miRNA from 1 species